rnacentral:misc_RNA from 1 species
GAACGCACCUUGUGCCCUUUGGCUAUUCCGAAGGGCAUGCCUGUUUGAGUAUCAUGAACACCUCAACUCUCAUGGUUUGCCAUGAUGAGCUUGGACUUUGGGGGUCUUGCUGGCCUAUGGUCGGCUCCUCUCAAAUGAAUCAGCUUACCAGUGUUUGGUGGCGUCACAGGUGUGAUAACUAUCUACGCUUGUGACCGUUCACCAGGUAACCUUCAGCGAUGGAGGUUCGCUGGAGCUCACAGACGUCUCUCCCCAGGGAGGACAGCUUCUAAAUGUUUGAUCUCAAAUCAGGUAGGACUACCCGCUGAACUUAAG